AGAAUAAUUAGGUUUAGUUACUUCUCUAGUUUCUGAAAAUUCAACAAAGAAGAACGAUAAAUUAUUCCAAUUAACGAUUUCUCUGCCUCUAUUAUUGACUCUGAGUGUUUUUUAUUUUAAUUUAUGUAGAACGUAGUUUUCGUCAUGGCUCUGUCCAAUUUUCGCCUUGACUUUUAUCUUUGGGGUGAAAUCCAGUGCAAAAUUAUGUAACAUUUGUUCUGGAGAGUUUAAGGUGUUGCGUUUUUUUUCUUUUUAAUUUUUCUAUUACACAGGUCUACAAAAAAAUUUCAAAAAAUGAAUAACCCAGAAACGAAACAAUACUUAUACGAACGUUUUUGGUACGCUGAAUCCGAAUCUAACGUCAGAAUUGCUCCAUCACUCCAGAUAAUUGAAACCAGAGUGUAGAACUGCAAACCAUUAAACUACUGAUUGUUGAUUUGCAUAAAUGCAUAAAAUCUUUUAAGAAUUAUGCGGACGUCGGUGGAGGACAAAUGUGUGUUGCAGGAAAUAUUGAUAAUCAUAUCUGCUAUUGUGAUAACGGAGGAACGUUUAUAAUAGUGGAAGCUCUCUAAGGACCUCCUAGAUAUUAAUAAAUCGCUUUGUCUCAAAAGGAGCAAAACAUUGCAGAAAAUCUGCUGCAGUUUACACCUCGGUUUACACGCAAAUUUUGGAAUGUCUUACCUGAAUUUGGGACAACAUGCAGCCGUAAUUCUGGAAUAAACGAAUUUUCAAGAAAAUAGUUGAAUCUUCAACUCAAAAUGAUCAUUGAAAGAAUCCAUACAAAUCAUGGCUUUUUACGUAUUGCUUGAGAUAAACGCAAAAGGCCAUGAUUUUCAUGAUUUUGUUAUGGUUUUACCAUGAAGAUCGCCUUUCUCAUGAAAUAGAUUUUCAAUUAAGAAAACAUUUUUCAGUCAAGAGAGAAAAA